rnacentral:rRNA from 1 species
CAGCCGCCGCGGGAAUACAGAGGGUGCAAGCGUUAAUCGGAAUUACUGGGCGUAAAGCGCGCGUAGGUGGUUUGUUAAGUUGGAUGUGAAAUCCCCGGGCUCAACCCGGGAACUGCAUCCAAAACUGGCAAGCUAGAGUAUGGUAGAGGGUGGUGGAAUUUCCUGUGUAGCGGUGAAAUGCGUAGAUAUAGGAAGGAACACCAGUGGCGAAGGCGACCACCUGGACUGAUACUGACACUGAGGUGCGAAAGCGUGGGGAGCAAACAGGAUUAGAUACCCCAGUAGUCCCUGUCUCUUAUAC